GUGAUAGAAGACAGUGAUGAUGGUGAUCAUGGUGAUGAGGAGGAGGUGAUAGAAGACAGCGAUGAUGGUGAUGAUGGUGAUGAGGAGGAGGAGGAGGUGAUAGAAGACAGUGAUGAUGGUGAUGAUGGUGAUGAUGAGGAGGAGGAGGUGAUAGAAGACAGUGAUGAUGGUGAUCAUGGUGAUGAGGAGGAGGUGAUAGAAGACAGCGAUGAUGGUGAUGAUGGUGAUGAGGAGGAGGACGAGGUGAUAGAAGACAGUGAUGAUGGUGAUGAUGGUGAUGAUGAGGAGGAGGAGGUGAUAGAAGACAGUGAUGAUGGUGAUGAUGAGGAGGAGGAGGUGAUAGAAGACAGUGAUGAUGGUGGUCAUUGUGAUGAGGAGGUGAUAGAAGACAGUGAUGAUGGUGGUCAUGGUGAUGAGGAGGAGGUGAUAGAAGACAGUGAUGAUGGUGAUCAUGGUGAUGAGGAGGAGGUGAUAGAAGACAGUGAUGAUGGUGGUCAUGGUGAUGAGGAGGAGGUGAUAGAAGACAGUGAUGAUGGUGAUGAUGGUGAUGAUGAGGAGGAGGAGGUGAUAGAAGACAGUGAUGAUGGUGAUCAUGGUGAUGAUGAGGAGGAGGAGGUGAUAGAAGACAGUGAUGAUGGUGAUCAUGGUGAUGAGGAGGAGGUGAUAG
rnacentral:lncRNA from 1 species